UUCAGAGCUUUCCCUGCACGUCUCAGUUGCAGAAACAAAGCAGUGUCAUAGCAACCAUUAACAUUACGCAGGAUCCAUAGCAACAAACAUUCCAACUGGUGAAAGCCAAAAGACAGGUCUACGCUGAUGACCAGCAUCGUACUGCGAGACGUAGAGGAGACAGUUUUGCAUCGGAGUCGAUGACACCAAGUAAGAAAACCACCCCCGUGACUGAGGCUCAUCCAGAUGACAAUGGCACAAGAUUAUGGACAUCUGACUGACCCAGAUUCUGCAUUUAAAUUCCGCAUCUGUGUGACUGAAAAGUGGCCUUUACACGAUUUGUUCUCAUCACGUUUCCGGCCCGUUUG